CAUUUAUUUUUUAAAGUUUUUUUAUGCGGAAACAUUUAAUUUAUUUUCACGAUUUGCAGCUAGACGGAAAUUAAAUCGGGGUAAAAAAAGGUUUAUUUACUGGAAUCAUCUCGUUGCUUUAUCAUGUUUAUUGUUAAUUGAUAAACGAUACUAACUUCCCAAUUGUCGGAAUACCGUUUACGUAAGGAUUUUUUUAAUAUACUUACACCAGGUCUGCUAGUCUGUUUAA
rnacentral:lncRNA from 1 species